rnacentral:rRNA from 1 species
GACGAACGCUGGCGGCGUGCAUAACACAUUCAAGUCGAACGGAGAAGAGUGCUUCGGUAUUCUUCUUAGUGGCGGACGGGUGAGUAACGCGUGAGUAAUCUACCUUCCAGUGCGGAAUAACAACCGGAACAGUUGCUAAUACCGCAUGAAAUGGCAGCAUCGCAUGGUGCAACCAUCAAAGAUUUAUCGCUGGAAGAUGAGCUUGCGUCCGAUUAGAUAGUUGGCGGAGUAACAGCCCACCAAGUCGACGAUCGGUAGCCGGACUGAGAGGUUGAACGGCCACAUUGGAACUGAGAUACGGUCCAGACUCCUACGGGAGGCAGCAGUGGGGAAUAUUGGGCAAUGGGCGAAAGCCUGACCCAGCGACGCCGCGUGAGGGAAGAAGAUCUUCGGAUUGUAAACCUUAGUCAACAGGGAAGAAGAAAGUGACGGUACCUGUGGAGGAAGCCACGGCUAACUACGUG